CCAGACUCCUACGGGAGGCAGCAGUGAGGAAUAUUGGUCAAUGGGCGCGAGCCUGAACCAGCCAAGUCGCGUGAGGGAAGACGGUCCUAUGGAUUGUAAACCUCUUUUGUCGGGGAGCAAAAGACGCCACGCGUGGCGUUCCGAGAGUACCCGAAGAAAAAGCAUCGGCUAACUCCGUGCCAGCAGCCGCGGUAAUACGGAGGAUGCGAGCGUUAUCCGGAUUUACUGGGUGUAAAGGGCGCGUAGGCGGAUUUGCAAGUCAGAUGUGAAAUACCGGGGCUUAACUCCGGAACUGCAUUUGAAACUGUAGACCUUGAGUGCCGGAGAGGAAAGCGGAAUUCCUAGUGUAGCGGUGAAAUGCGUAGAUAUUAGGAGGAACACCAGUGGCGAAGGCGGCUUUCUGGACGGUAACUGACGCUGAGGCGCGAAAGUGUGGGUAGCAAACAGGAUUAGAUACCCCAGUAU
rnacentral:rRNA from 1 species